UACGUAGGGGGCGAGCGUUGUUCGGAAUUAUUGGGCGUAAAGCGCGCGCAGGCGGUCCUUUAAGUCUGAUGUGAAAGCCCACGGCUCAACCGUGGAGGGUCAUUGGAAACUGGGGGACUUGAGUGCAGAAGAGGAGAGUGGAAUUCCACGUGUAGCGGUGAAAUGCGUAGAGAUGUGGAGGAACACCAGUGGCGAAGGCGACUCUCUGGUCUGUAACUGACGCUGAGGCGCGAAAGCGUGGGGAGCAAACAGG
rnacentral:rRNA from 1 species